UUCUUUCGCUCCUAUCCCCAACUCUGAGAAGAUUGAUGCAGUGAAUAUUUGCUUUAUAACAUAAUCAUGUACAAGCCUAUUCAAAUCUGGUUUAGAGCUAGACACUUCACUUUUUAAAUGUUUCUUUUUGAAACUACUCUUUUUUUUAAUUGGAAAAUCUAUCUCACCAGCCUCUGAAUGUUUUUCAGAAACAAGUUCCUCUUUCACCUCUGGAGAAUUCCCUGUUCCACCUUCUGAAAGUGAAUCUACGAAAAGGAUCAAAACCGUUCUUGAUGUUGAAUUUCUGGAACUGUAAUAUUAAAAAAAAAGGGAGUAACCCUGGAGGAGAAGAGAGAGGACACUACUAACUUUAAUUCUGCGUUAUGAUUAGGCCUUCCCCAUUUUGCAGCCAAGUGGAACACAAUUCAAGGGGUUGCAUCUUGUUUCCCAGGCUACACAGUCCUAACAGACCCCCAAUAAACACCUUUUUAUUUUAAUCAGGUCUCCAUUUCUGAAGUUUUGGUUAACAAAUUCCAAAUCAGUAAGGUGAUCAGUAAGGUAGAGACACCAGGAUCCAGAAAUUUGAGAGAGUUCAGAAAAUAUGAAUGCAGAUGAGAUUGACCUAAUGGGAAACUCCCAUCAAGAAAACUAGAGCUGUAAACAACAGGAAUCAGGCAGGCCUGAGAAACAAUAAAUUCAAGGUCAUCAUAUACAAUGAGUAUCUUAAAACAGAGGCAGACUGAGCUGAUAGGUAUUUAACUGAACUUUAUCCUUUUCCUUCUUCCUUCCUGGACUAGACUGUGAUUCCUGGAACUAUAGAGUCCAUUCCAUUUUACCUUAUAAUAACAUACACAUGCUAAGGCUACCUUCCAGAAAGAAAGGACACAUGGGUCCAUGAUGACUCAUGAAACCACUGUACUACAAUUUAAGGCAGUGUUUCUAACUUCUUGUUACAGACAAAUUUACUGAUCUAACAAAUUCCACAUAUGCUGAGUCUAUUCAUCCACAAUGGAAUGAAACUAGACAUCAGUAAGAGAAGGAAACUGAAAAAUCUCAAGUAUGUAGAAACUUAACACAGUCGCAGUAGGUACACCCAGUGCCCAGAGCUUGGUUUCUAAAUAUCAUUCUCCAGUAAAACAGCCAGGUCCCCUUCGAGAAAUAAUUGAUUUCUAGGACUGGGGUAAGAAAAAUACAGGAUAAGCCUGGAAUGUCUUAUGGUACUAAAACGUAAGAAAGUGCUCAGUAAACAAAACUGACAAGGGCAUGUCCAGGCACACAGGACACACUGAAAAAGGUACCAUUAGCCAAAGCAGGAAAAAUUUAUACAACAAACUACUACCAUAUUGGAUUAUAACCCAAAAUAUAAAAUAAAUAUACAUGAGUUUAUACUCAUAGAAAUAAAUUAUAUAAGUAAAUGGGGGAGAAGAGACAAAUCUUUCUCACAUAAGAAUUCCAAAAAAACCACAAGUAGAUACUUGCCCAUCCAAGAAGUAGAGCUUAAUCCUUGCCCAUUACCUACCACCCACACUUAUACACACUUGAGGGUGAGCUAGAUUUACUUCCAAAAAUCAGAGCAGUGAAUGAGAAAAACAGUAACUUCACUGUGGAGAAGCCUGGAAAUUACUAUCUAAAUACAUGGUGAAGGCAAAUAUCACUACCAUCGUCUUGAGGAUAUCAGGACCCCCAGAGUGAUGUGCUGAGACAGGCAUUUCACCACUGCGCUAUCUUCCCCUCAAACUCAUAACCCAAAUUUAAUCAUGAGAAAAACUCCAGACAAGCACAUAUUUGGGGCCAUUAUAUAGGAUACCUGGCCAGUGCUUGUCAAGAUUGUUGAAGUCAUGAAAAGAAACAAAACCAAGGAAAGUAAGAAACUGUCACAGACCAGAGGAGUCUGGGAAGGCAUGACAACUAAAUAUAAUGUACUGAAACCUGGAGCAGAAAUAAAAUAUUAAUGGACAAAAUGGUGAAACCCAAAUAAAGUCUGGAGUUUAGUUAUUAGUAAUGUACUGUCAGCUUCUUAGUUUUGGCAAAUGUACUAUGACGUAAGAUGUUAACAAUGUUAACAAAAGUGUUGGUGAGACUGUGGAGAGAAGAGAACCCCUGUGUGGGAACUACAGAUUGGUACAGCCACUAUGGAAAACAGUAUGGGUUUAACUAUGGGGUAGUUAAAAAUGCUAUUUGGUCCAGCAAUCCCAUUCUGGCAUAUAUACAAUGGGAAUGAAAGUACUAUCUUAAAGAAAUACCUGCACCCCUGAUUCACUGAAGUUUUAUU